GAUGAACGCUAGCGGCAGACCUAACACAUGCAAGUCGAGGGGCAGCAGACCACCUCGGUGGUGCUGGCGACCGGCGCACGGGUGAGUAUCGCGUUUGUAACCUACCCUUAACUGGGGAAUAGCCCGAAGAAAUUCGGAUUAAUACCCCAUUAAAUUUUAGCACGGCAUCGUGCUUCCAUUAAAGCUCCGGCGGUUAAGGAUGGGCAUGCGUGACAUUAGUUUGUUGGUGAGGUAACGGCUCACCAAGACUACGAUGUUUAGGGGGUCUGAGAGGAUGGUCCCCCACACUGGUACUGAGACACGGACCAGACUCCUACGGGAGGCAGCAGUGAGGAAUAUUGGUCAAUGGACGCAAGUCUGAACCAGCCAUGCCGCGUGCAGGAAGACGGCUCUAUGAGUUGUAAACUGCUUUUAUACGGGAAUAAACUUAGCUACGUGUAGUUAACUGAAUGUACCGUACGAAUAAGCACCGGCUAACUCCGUGCCAGCAGCCGCGGUAAUACGGAGGGUGCAAGCGUUAUCCGGAUUUGU
rnacentral:rRNA from 1 species